rnacentral:rRNA from 1 species
UGCGUAGGCGGGUCUUUAAGUCAGGGGUGAAAUCCUGGAGCUCAACUCCAGAACUGCCUUUGAUACUGAAGAUCUUGAGUUCGGGAGAGGUGAGUGGAACUGCGAGUGUAGAGGUGAAAUUCGUAGAUAUUCGCAAGAACACCAGUGGCGAAGGCGGCUCACUGGCCUGAUACUGACGCUGAGGCACGAAAGCGUGGGGAGCAAACA